GGGAAAUUUUGCAAGUACAUCAGGCUUCAACUCUUCCAACCAUAAAAUGUUUUCCAGUAAAUGCACAUCAGCUUUGCUCAGCUUGUUGCCAACAAGAAAGUCAUGCCCGUGGUCUUUCAAAACCUUCUCAAAGACUGGCAAGUAUCUGUUUGUGGCCUUGUCCAAAAUAUUAGCAAGGUCUUUCUCCAUUUCAUUAGCUGGUUUGAACUCAUGGUGCAAGAUUAACUCAUUCAGAUCUGCCAGUCCUUCCACAUACAUGUCAAUUAGGGCUCUCUCCUUCAGAUCCUUCCCGUAGAGAUUGUAUUUCCCUGCUAUGUAGUUGAGGAUGGCUCUGGUCUGCACCAACUUCAUCCCAUCGAUCUCCACCAUGGGCACUUGCUGGAACAGCAGGAAUCCAUCUGUCCUUAACUUUUGGAGAUCAUCCUUUGUUUUCAGAAUUCUUUCUUCAAACUCCACUCCAGCAGCUGCUAGUAGCCACCUUAUUGGUUCCAUUCGGCCUCGUAUAUUGGCAUAGUGCAGAACUGGCUUCCCAGACAUGUUUCCACGUGUCUGAUUUCCUGCGGAUAGGUCUCCUGGGCGGGCCGCCACUCUCUGUUCUGCCGCAGCUAAGCGCGCUUCGCCACCGCUACAGCCGACCGCUCCCCCUCCGCAGCCGUCGCCGCGCAGCUCCAGGUCCG
rnacentral:lncRNA from 1 species